AUUGAACGCUGGCGGAAUGCUUUACACAUGCAAGUCGAACGGCAGCACGGACUUCGGUCUGGUGGCGAGUAGCGAACGGGCGAGUAAUGUAUCGGAACGUGCCCAGUCGUGGGGGAUAACGUAGUGAAAAUUACGCUAAUACCGCAUACGAUCUAUGGAUGAAAGCGGGGGAUCGCAAGACCUCGCGCGAUUGGAGCGGCCGAUAUCAGAUUAGGUAGGUGGUGGGGUAAAGGCCCACCAAGCCAACGAUCUGUAGCUGGUCUGAGAGGACGACCCGCCACACUGGAACUUAGACACGAUCCAGGCUCCUACGGAAGGCAGCAGUGGGGAAGUUUGGACAAUGGGCGAAAGCCUGAUCCAGCCAUUCCGCGUGCAGGAUGAAGGCCCUCGGGUUGUAAACUGCUUUUGUACAGAACGGAAAGGUUUCUACUAAUACUAGGAGCUCAUGACGGUACUGUAAGAAUAAGCACCGGCUAACUACGUGCCAGCCGCCGCGGUAA
rnacentral:rRNA from 1 species